rnacentral:rRNA from 1 species
UACGUAGGGUGCGAGCGUUGUCCGGAAUUAUUGGGCGUAAAGAGCUUGUAGGCGGUUUGUCGCGUCUGCUGUGAAAACCCGAGGCUCAACCUCGGGCCUGCAGUGGGUACGGGCAGACUAGAGUGUGGUAGGGGAGACUGGAAUUCCUGGUGUAGCGGUGGAAUGCGCAGAUAUCAGGAGGAACACCAAUGGCGAAGGCAGGUCUCUGGGCCACAACUGACGCUGGAGGAGCGAAAGCGUGGGGAGCGAACAGG